rnacentral:rRNA from 1 species
AUUGAACGCUGGCGGCAUGCCUUACACAUGCAAAUCGAACGGUAACGGGCCUUCGGGUGCCGACGAGUGGCGAACGGGUGAGUAAUACAUCGGAACGUGCCCGAUCGUGGGGGAUAACGAGGCGAAAGCUUUGCUAAUACCGCAUACGAUCUACGGAUGAAAGCAGGGGACCGCAAGGCCUUGCGCGGACGGAGCGGCCGAUGGCAGAUUAGGUAGUUGGUGGGAUAAAAGCUUACCAAGCCGACGAUCUGUAGCUGGUCUGAGAGGAUGAUCAGCCACACUGGGACUGAGACACGGCCCAGACUCCUACGGGAGGCAGCAGUGGGGAAUUUUGGACAAUGGGCGCAAGCCUGAUCCAGCCAUGCCGCGUGCAGGAUGAAGGCCUUCGGGUUGUAAACUGAUUUUGUACGGAACGAAAAGCCUUCUUUUAAUACAGGAGGGUCAUGACGGUACCGUAAGAAUAAGUACCGGCUAACUACGUG